GUGACAACCGUAUGACCCUGACAAACAACAACAACAUUUUAAAAUAGUUUGUCCACUGUGGAAAAGAUAAACAACACUUGACCUGAACUCUACUCAGGCAUUUCCACUAUAUUCUACACUCAGUGUUUCUUUGUGUCUUUUAGGAACCCUCCUGUUCAGCUCCUCUAUUGGAACAAACACGGAAGCUUACGCAUCACGCCUUAUUGAAAACUGUCCCUUAUAACAGCUGCCAUACAAAAACCAGUACAAAAGGUGGAAAAGGCGCUCUGAGAGUUGACUCAGAUCCCAGUGAAAACUCUUCAAGCAUAACAGCGUGGGAAGAGGAAACAGCAUUGUGUUUAUCACAAAGUGCUUCUAGUGGCUGCACAGCAGCCAAUGAGGAUACACAGCCAGAUGUGAAAGGAGCUGAGUCAGCAGAGCCUCAGGAAGCAGAGCCGAUAACAGCCGAGAGGAAGAGAGAGCUGGAGCAUUACCUCAAAC